rnacentral:rRNA from 1 species
CGAUCUUAUUGGGCCUAAAGCGUCCGUAGCUGGCUGCGCAAGUCCGUCGGGAAAUCCACUCGCCCAACGAGUGGGCGUCCGACGGAAACUGCACAGCUUGGGACCGGAAGGCUCGAAGGGUACGUUCGGGGUAGGAGUGAAAUCCCAUAAUCCCGCACGGACCACCGAUGGCGAAAGCACUUCGAGAAAACGGAUCCGACAGUGAGGGACGAAAGCCAGGGUCUCCAAC